GAUGAACGCUGGCGGCGUGCCUAAUACAUGCAAGUCGAGCGAACGGACGAGAAGCUUGCUUUUCUGAUGUUAGCGGCGGACGGGUGAGUAACACGUGGAUAACCUACCUAUAAGACUGGGAUAACUUCGGGAAACCGGAGCUAAUACCGGAUAAUAUUUUGAACCGCAUGGUUCAAAAGUGAAAGACGGUCUUGCUGUCACUUAGAGAUGGAUCCGCGCUGCAUUAGCUAGUUGGCAAGGUAACGGCUUACCAAGGCAACGAUGCAUAGCCGACCUGAGAGGGUGAUCGGCCACACUGGAACUGAGACACGGUCCAGACUCCUACGGGAGGCAGCAGUAGGGAAUCUUCCGCAAUGGGCGAAAGCCUGACGGAGCAACGCCGCGUGAGUGAUGAAGGUCUUCGGAUCGUAAAACUCUGUUAUUAGGGAAGAACAUAUGUGUAAGUAACUGUGCACAUCUUGACGGUACCUAAUCAGAAAGCCACGGCUAACUACGUG
rnacentral:rRNA from 1 species